rnacentral:lncRNA from 1 species
CUUGCCCUCUGCUACAUGUGCUAUUCCCUCCAUCCCAUGCCAUUCAGAGAACACAGCCCUACACUCCUGCAGAGGCAGACUCAGAAUGCCUGCAGCACAGCAGACCCCUGAAGGAGCGAGCAUACGGCUGCAUGCACGUCAAGUACCAGAAUAAGGAGGCUGGAGCUUAGCUGACUGCCCCAUCUCAGGAGAACUACAGAGCAAGCAUCAGGAAGACAGGCAUAUACUCUGAGCCACAAGAGGAAGCCAGCAGAGAAACCUGUGUGUCCCACACAGAAUAGCCCUUGGAAAAGUGGUUUUACAUCAGACCAGACCUCCGCAUCUCAAUGUGGUUGGUGAAGGCUAUCGUGGGAAAAUGACUACGUAUGAGAGACAAGGAGAGUCCACUAGUGAGAGAGACAAUGCACUUAUUCUACGACGGGGUGGACUGCCUCGUCCUCAUUAAUGGUGGAAACUGAAGAGUAAUACUCCAUUUCACUAGGGACUGUUGUUAAAACAAGUCUCAAAGAGGAUAUAAGGAAUGGAACCAUUACCAGACCUGCAACCCACUGAUGAUGCAGAAGCCACUCGGCCAGGAAAACAAGAGAAGGGGCAACAGAGAAGUGAGAGCUUGCCUUCCUCAUCUACAAUCUGUGGAUACUCUCGACGCCUACCUCUGUACU